CAAUAGCGUAUAUUAAAGUUGUUGCGGUAAAAAAGCUCGUAGUUGGAUUUCUGUUGAGGACGAUCGGUCCGUACCAUGUACGCGCAUCUGAUUCGGCCUCGGCAUCCUCUCGAUAGACGUUUCUGCGCUUGAUUGCGUGGAGCGGAUUUCGGGACUUUUACUUUGAGGAAAUUAGAGUGUUCACGGCAGGCUAUCGCCAGAAUACAUUAGCAUGGAAUAAUAUUAUAGGAUCUCGGUUCUAUUUUGUUGGUUUCUAGACCCGGGGUAAUGAUUAAUAGGGACAAUUGGGGGCAUUUGUAUCAACACGUCAGAGGUGGAAUUCUUGGAUUGUGUUGCGACAAACUACUGCGAAAGCAUUUGCCAAGGAUGUUUNCAUUGA
rnacentral:rRNA from 1 species